UACGAAGGGGGCUAGCGUUGCUCGGAAUCACUGGGCGUAAAGGGCGCGUAGGCGGCUGUACAAGUCAAAGGUGAAAUCCCUCGGCUCAACUGAGGAACUGCCUUUGAAACUGUACGGCUUGAGGCCGGGAGGGGGUAGCGGAAUCCCCAAUGUAGCGGUGAAAUGCGUAGAUAUUGGGAGGAACACCAGUGGCGAAGGCGGCUACCUGGACCGGUUCUGACGCUGAGGCGCGAAAGCGUGGGUAGCAAACAGG
rnacentral:rRNA from 1 species